rnacentral:rRNA from 1 species
UACGGUUGCAAAGCUGAAACUUAAAGGAAUUGACGGAAGGGCACCACCAGGAGUGGAGCCUGUGGCUUAAUUUGACUCAACACGGGAAACCUCACCCGGUCCGGACACUGGAAGGAUUGACAGACUAAAGCUCUUUCUUGAUUCAGUGGGUGGUGGUGCAUGGCCGUUCUUAGUUGGUGGAGUGAUUUGUCUGGUUAAUUCCGAUAACGAACGAGACUCUCGCCUGCUAAAUAGUUUUCCAUACGUUACUUUAUGGAACCUAAAACUUCUUAGAGGUACAAGUGGCGUUUAGCCACACGAAACAGAGCAAUAACAGGUCUGUGAUGCCCUUAGAUGUCCGGGGCCGCACAUGUGCUACAAUGAAUGCAUCAACGUGUAUCAGCCUCGCCCGAAAGGGUUGGGGAAUCCGCUGAACGGCAUUCUCAGUAGGGAUUGGGGAUUGCAAUUAUUUCCCAUGAACACGGAAUUCCCAGUAGGCGCCAGUCAUCAGCUGGCGUCGAUUGAGUCCCUGCCCUUUGUACACACCGCCCGUCGCUACUACCGAUCGCUCUUGUUAAUGAGCUUGUCGGAUUGGACCCGGUGAGCAGUCGUUGCGCUUCAUCUCCUCGCGGGGUGGGCCUUCGUCUGCGAGCUUUUGGUGUAUGCCGAGAAGAUCGGCAAAUUAUCUGGAGUAGAGGAAGUAAAAGUCGUAACAAGGUAUCCGUAGGUGAACCUGCGGAUGNNNNNNNNNNAAUAGAUACGAUAGGUGGAUGUCCGCGAGGGUUGCUUCUCGGUAGAAAGAUACAUACAAAAAGUAAAAGAGAAGCCGCCGAGUGGCGAGUUGUUGAAAGUAGCCCAGCGAAACAACGGAACAAACCCUCGGAAUAAGAAAGAAAAAGACGUGCUGUACGAAAAAGUGCAACG